AUUGAACGCUGGCGGCAUGCUUCACACAUGCAAGUCGAACGGCAGCGCGGGCUUCGGCCUGGCGGCGAGUGGCGAACGGGUGAGUAAUACAUCGGAACGUGCCCAGUAGUGGGGGAUAGCUCGGCGAAAGCCGGAUUAAUACCGCAUACGACCUGAGGGUGAAAGCGGGGGAUCUUCGGACCUCGCGCUAUUGGAGCGGCCGAUGGCAGAUUAGCUAGUUGGUGGGGUAAAGGCCUACCAAGGCGACGAUCUGUAGCUGGUCUGAGAGGACGACCAGCCACACUGGGACUGAGACACGGCCCAGACUCCUACGGGAGGCAGCAGUGGGGAAUUUUGGACAAUGGGCGAAAGCCUGAUCCAGCAAUGCCGCGUGUGUGAUGAAGGCCUUCGGGUUGUAAAGCACUUUUGGCGGGAACGAAAAGGACUGUGCCAAUACCACGGUUCGAUGACGGUACCCGCAGAAUAAGCACCGGCUAACUACGUG
rnacentral:rRNA from 1 species